CGAUAUCAAUAAGCGGAGGAAAAGAAAAUAACAAUGAUUCCCUUAGUAACGGCGAGUGAAGGGGGAUAAGCUCAAAUUUUAAAUCUGCUAGGUUUUACUUAUCAGAGUUGUAAUUUGAAGAAGCGUUUUCCGCGUCUCGGUUGACCCAAAUCCUUUGGGAUAAGGUAUCAUGGAGGGUGAGAAUCCCGUUCGGUUGACCUUAUGACGCUUUACGAUACGUUUUCUAAGAGUCGAGUUGUUUGGGAUUGCAGCUCAAAAUGGGAGGUAAAUUUCUCCUAAGGCUAAAUAUUGGCGAGAGACCGAUAGCGAACAAGUACCGUGAGGGAAAGAUGAAAAGAACUUUGAAAAGAGAGUAAAAUAGUACGUGAAAUUGUUGAAAGGGAAACGAUUGAAGUCAGUCGUGCCGACGAAAAAUCAGCUCUUUGAGUGCGGACUUGUGGGUUUACGUGAGCUUUACGGCCUCGCUAUUUGCAAUGUUCGUUCUUUUUGGGUGUACUUUUUCGUAUGGUAGGCCAAUAUCAGUUUUGAUCGCUAUAAAAUGACCGGCGGAAUGUAGCUUCGAUCUCGUAUUGAAGUGUUAUAGCCUCUGGUAGAUGUGGUGAUUGGGACUGAGGAUUGCAACGAAUACCUUCUGGGCUAUCCGUCUGAUCUCUGAAAGUUGCUUAGGUGCCGAAAGCGUGCUUACGGUUAUUUAAGUUGACGGUCAAAAGGUUAGAACGUGAUUAUAUUCGUUAAGGAUGUUGA
rnacentral:rRNA from 1 species